CCUACGGGUGGCAGCAGUGAGGAAUAUUGGUCAAUGGACGAGAGUCUGAACCAGCCAAGUAGCGUGAAGGAUGACUGCCCUAUGGGUUGUAAACUUCUUUUAUAUGGGAAUAAAACGUUCCACGUGUGGGAUUUUGUAUGUACCAUAUGAAUAAGGAUCGGCUAACUCCGUGCCAGCAGCCGCGGUAAUACGGAGGAUCCGAGCGUUAUCCGGAUUUAUUGGGUUUAAAGGGAGCGUAGGUGGAUUGUUAAGUCAGUUGUGAAAGUUUGCGGCUCAACCGUAAAAUUGCAGUUGAAACUGGCAGUCUUGAGGACAGUAGAGGUGGGCGGAAUUCGUGGUGUAGCGGUGAAAUGCUUAGAUAUCACGAAGAACUCCGAUUGCGAAGGCAGUUCACUGGACUGCAACUGACACUGAGGCUCGAAAGUGUGGGUAUCAAACAGGAUUAGAUACCCCUGUAGUC
rnacentral:rRNA from 1 species